CAGUAGCCACGGUAAUACGAGGGGGGCAAGCGUUGUUCGGAAUUAUUGGGCGUAAAGGGUGCGUAGGCGGUUUGACAAGUCUUAUGUGAAAUCUCUGGGCUCAACCCAGAGUCUGCAUGGGAAACUGUCGGGCUUGAGUAUGGGAGAGGUGAGUGGAAUUUCCGGUGUAGCGGUGAAAUGCGUAGAUAUCGGAAGGAACACCUGUGGCGAAAGCGGCUCACUGGACCAUAACUGACGCUGAGGCACGAAAGCUAGGGGAGCAAACAGGAUUAGAGACCCCUGUAGUCCCUGUCUCUUAUAC
rnacentral:rRNA from 1 species